GAUGAACGCUGGCGGCGUGCCUAAUACAUGCAAGUCGAGCGAACGGACGAGAAGCUUGCUUCUCUGAUGUUAGCGGCGGACGGGUGAGUAACACGUGGAUAACCUACCUAUAAGACUGGGAUAACUUCGGGAAACCGGAGCUAAUACCGGAUAAUAUUUUGAACCGCAUGGUUCAAAAGUGAAAGACGGUCUUGCUGUCACUUAUAGAUGGAUCCGCGCUGCAUUAGCUAGUUGGUAAGGUAACGGCUUACCAAGGCAACGAUGCAUAGCCGACCUGAGAGGGUGAUCGGCCACACUGGAACUGAGACACGGUCCAGACUCCUACGGGAGGCAGCAGUAGGGAAUCUUCCGCAAUGGGCGAAAGCCUGACGGAGCAACGCUGCGUGAGUGAUGAAGGUCUUCGGAUCGUAAAACUCUGUUAUUAGGGAAGAACAUAUGUGUAAGUAACUGUGCACAUCUUGACGGUACCUAAUCAGAAAGCCACGGCUAACUACGUGCCAGCAGCCGCGGUAAUACGUAGGUGGCAAGCGUUAUCCGGAAUUAUUGGGCGUAAAGCGCGCGUAGGCGGUUUUUUAAGUCUGAUGUGAAAGCCCACGGCUCAACCGUGGAGGGUCAUUGGAAACUGGAAAACUUGAGUGCAGAAGAGGAAAGUGGAAUUCUAUGUGUAGCGGUGAAAUGCGCAGAGAUAUGGAGGAACACCAGUGGCGAAGGCGACUUUCUGGUCUGUAACUGACGCUGAUGUGCGAAAGCGUGGGGAUCAAACAGGAUUAGAUACCCUGGUAGUCCACGCCGUAAACGAUGAGUGCUAAGUGUUAGGGGGUUUCCGCCCCUUAGUGCUGCAGCUAACGCAUUAAGCACUCCGCCUGGGGAGUACGACCGCAAGGUUGAAACUCAAAGGAAUUGACGGGGACCCGCACAAGCGGUGGAGCAUGUGGUUUAAUUCGAAGCAACGCGAAGAACCUUACCAAAUCUUGACAUCCUUUGACAACUCUAGAGAUAGAGCCUUCCCCUUCGGGGGACAAAGUGACAGGUGGUGCAUGGUUGUCGUCAGCUCGUGUCGUGAGAUGUUGGGUUAAGUCCCGCAACGAGCGCAACCCUUAAGCUUAGUUGCCAUCAUUAAGUUGGGCACUCUAAGUUGACUGCCGGUGACAAACCGGAGGAAGGUGGGGAUGACGUCAAAUCAUCAUGCCCCUUAUGAUUUGGGCUACACACGUGCUACAAUGGACAAUACAAAGGGCAGCGAAACCGCGAGGUCAAGCAAAUCCCAUAAAGUUGUUCUCAGUUCGGAUUGUAGUCUGCAACUCGACUACAUGAAGCUGGAAUCGCUAGUAAUCGUAGAUCAGCAUGCUACGGUGAAUACGUUCCCGGGUCU
rnacentral:rRNA from 1 species